AUGGCUUCCUCGCGCGCCGCCGCCGGGCCCUUCGCGCUCUGCAUUCUGCUGCUCGCGUCCCCGGCCGUCUCCGCCACGUUCCUGUUCGACGGCGGGAAGUCGGCGGCGAAGAGCAAGGGCAAGGGCAAGGAGGCGGUCGACGUGGAGUGGCGGCCGGCCACCGCGACGUGGUACGGCGAAGCCGAGGGCGACGGCAGCACCGGGGGGGCGUGCGGGUACGGGACGCUGGUGGACGUGGUGCCGAUGAAGGCGCGGGUGGGGUCGGUGAGCCCGGUGCUGUUCAAGGGCGGCGAGGGGUGCGGCGCCUGCUACAAGGUCCGGUGCCUCGACCACGGCAUCUGCUCGCGCCGCGCCGUCACCGUCAUCGUCACCGACGAGUGCCCCGGCGGCGGCCUCUGCGGCGGCGGCAACACGCACUUCGACCUCAGCGGCGCCGCCUUCAGCAGGAUGGCCGUCGCCGGCGCCGGGGCGCACCUGCGCGACCGUGGGCAGCUCAAGGUGAUCUACCGAAGGACGGCGUGCAAGUACGGCGGGAAGAACAUCGCGUUCCAUGUGAACGAGGGGUCGACGAGCUUCUGGCUCUCGCUGCUCGUCGAGUUCGAGGACGGCGAGGGCGACAUCGGCUCCAUGCAGCUCAAGCAGGCGAACUCGGCGAAGUGGCUGGACAUGAAGCACGUGUGGGGCGCCACGUGGUGCCUCUACGGGGGCCCCACGGCGGGCCCAUUCUCCGUGAGGCUGACGACGCUGUCCGCACCCAAGACGCUCACGGCCCGGGACGUCAUCCCCAGGAACUGGGCGCCCAAGGGCACCUACUCCUCCCGCCUCAACUUCGACGCCUCGCUCUGA
rnacentral:rRNA from 1 species